rnacentral:rRNA from 1 species
AGCAUCGCCGCGGGAACACGAAGGGUGCAAGCGUUAAUCGGAAUUACUGGGCGUAAAGCGUGCGUAGGCGGUGAGUUAAGUCUGCUGUGAAAUCCCCGGGCUCAACCUGGGAAUGGCAGUGGAUACUGGCUCGCUAGAGUGUGUCAGAGGAUGGUGGAAUUCCCGGUGUAGCGGUGAAAUGCGUAGAGAUCGGGAGGAACAUCAGUGGCGAAGGCGGCCAUCUGGGACAACACUGACGCUGAGGCACGAAAGCGUGGGGAGCAAACAGGAUUAGAUACCCGAGUAGUCCCUGUCUCUUAUACA